AACCUGCCCAUCAGAAGGGGAUAACACUUGGAAACAGGUGCUAAUACCGUAUAACAAUCGAAACCGCAUGGUUUUGAUUUGAAAGGCGCUUUCGGGUGUCGCUGAUGGAUGGACCCGCGGUGCAUUAGCUAGUUGGUGAGGUAACGGCUCACCAAGGCCACGAUGCAUAGCCGACCUGAGAGGGUGAUCGGCCACAUUGGGACUGAGACACGGCCCAAACUCCUACGGGAGGCAGCAGUAGGGAAUCUUCGGCAAUGGACGAAAGUCUGACCGAGCAACGCCGCGUGAGUGAAGAAGGUUUUCGGAUCGUAAAACUCUGUUGUUAGAGAAGAACAAGGAUGAGAGUAACUGUUCAUCCCUUGACGGUAUCUAACCAGAAAGCCACGGCUAACUACGUGCCAGCAGCCGCGGUAAUACGUAGGUGGCAAGCGUUGUCCGGAUUUAUUGGGCGUAAAGCGAGCGCAGGCGGUUUCUUAAGUCUGAUGUGAAAGCCCCCGGCUCAACCGGGGAGGGUCAUUGGAAACUGGGAGACUUGAGUGCAUAAGAGGAGAGUGGAAUUCCAUGUGUAGCGGUGAAAUGCGUAGAUAUAUGGAGGAACACCAGUGUCGAAGGCGGCUCUCUGGUCUGUAACUGACGCUGAGGCUCGAAAGCG
rnacentral:rRNA from 1 species